AGUGAACGCUGGCGGUAGGCCUAACACAUGCAAGUCGAACGGCAGCACAGUAAGAGCUUGCUCUUACGGGUGGCGAGUGGCGGACGGGUGAGGAAUACAUCGGAAUCUACUUUUUCGUGGGGGUUAACGUAGGGAAACUUACGCUAAUACCGCAUACGACCUACGGGUGAAAGCAGGUGAUCUUCGGACCUUGCGCGAUUGAAUGAGCCGAUGUCGGAUUAGCUAGUUGGCGGGGUAAAGGCCCACCAAGGCGACGAUCCGUAGCUGGUCUGAGAGGAUGAUCAGCCAAACUGGAACUGAGACACGGUCCAGACUCCUACGGGAGGCAGCAGUGGGGAAUAUUGGACAAUGGGCGCAAGCCUGAUCCAGCCAUACCGCGUGGGUGAAGAAGGCCUUCGGGUUGUAAAGCCCUUUUGUUGGGAAAGAAAAGCAGCAGGUUAAUACCCCGCUGUUCUGACGGUACCCAAAGAAUAAGCACCGGCUAACUUCGUG
rnacentral:rRNA from 1 species